rnacentral:rRNA from 1 species
ACAUCCAGCGAACUUGGCAGAGAUGCCUUGGUGCCUUCGGGAACGCUGAGACAGGUGCUGCAUGGCUGUCGUCAGCUCGUGUUGUGAAAUGGUUCGGGUUAAGUCCCGNAACGAGCGCAACCCUUAUCCUUUGUUGCCAGCGAUUCGGUCGGGAACUCAAAGGAGACUGCCGGUGAUAAACCGGAGGAAGGUGGGGAUGACGUCAAGUCAUCAUGGCCCUUACGAGUAGGGCUACACACGUGCUACAAUGGCGCAUACAAAGAGAAGCGACCUCGCGAGAGCAAGCGGACCUCAUAAAGUGCGUCGUAGUCCGGAUCGGAGUCUGCAACUCGACUCCGUGAAGUCGGAAUCGCUAGUAAUCGUGGAUCAGAAUGCCACGGUGAAUACGUUCCCGGGCCUUGUACACACCGCCCGUCACACCAUGGGAGUGGGUUGCAAAAGAAGUAGGUAGCUUAACCUUCGGGAGGGCGCUUACCACUUUGUGAUUCAUGACUGGGGUGAAGUCGUAACAAGGUAGGCGUAGCGAG